rnacentral:rRNA from 1 species
GACGUAGGGCGCGAGCGUUUGUCCGGAUUUAUUGGGCGUAAAGAGCGUGUAGGCGGCCAGGUAGGUCUGCUGUGAAAACUCGAGGCUCAACCUCGAGACGUCGGCGGAAACCAUCUGGCUAGAGUCCGGAAGAGGAGAGUGGAAUUCCUGGUGUAGCGGUGAAAUGCGCAGAUAUCAGGAAGAACACCCGUGGCGAAGGCGGCUCUCUGGGACGGUACUGACGCUGAGGUGCGAAAGCGUGGGGAGCAAACAGG